rnacentral:rRNA from 1 species
UACUCCUACGGGAGGCAGCAGUGGGGAAUAUUGGACAAUGGGCGCAAGCCUGAUCCAGCCAUACCGCGUGGGUGAAGAAGGCCUUCGGGUUGUAAAGCCCUUUUGUUGGGAAAGAAAUCCAGCCGGCUAAUACCCGGUUGGGAUGACGGUACCCAAAGAAUAAGCACCGGCUAACUUCGUGCCAGCAGCCGCGGUAAUACGAAGGGUGCAAGCGUUACUCGGAAUUACUGGGCGUAAAGCGUGCGUAGGUGGUCGUUUAAGUCCGUUGUGAAAGCCCUGGGCUCAACCUGGGAACUGCAGUGGAUACUGGGCGACUAGAGUGUGGUAGAGGGUAGCGGAAUUCCUGGUGUAGCAGUGAAAUGCGUAGAGAUCAGGAGGAACAUCCAUGGCGAAGGCAGCUACCUGGACCAACACUGACACUGAGGCACGAAAGCGUGGGGAGCAAACAGGAUUAGAUACCCUGGUAGUCCACGCCCUAAACGAUGCGAACUGGAUGUUGGGUGCAAUUUGGCACGCAGUAUCGAAGCUAACGCGUUAAGUUCGCCGCCUGGGGAGUACGGUCGCAAGACUGAAACUCAAAGGAAUUGACGGA